rnacentral:rRNA from 1 species
GAUCAACGCUGGCGGCGUGCCUAACACAUGCAAGUCGAACGAUGAAGCUUAAAAGAUUUCUUCGGAAUGAACUUAAUUGGAUUAGUGGCGGACGGGUGAGUAACGCGUGAGUAACCUGCCUUGUACAAGGGGAUAGCCGUUGGAAACGACGAAUAAUACCCUAUGACAUCAAAUAAUCGCAUGAUAAUUUGAUCAAAGAUUUAUCGGUAUAAGAUGGACUCGCGUCUGAUUAGCUAGUUGGUAGAGUAAAAGCCUACCAAGGCAACGAUCAGUAGCCGGCUUGAGAGAGUGUACGGCCACAUUGGGACUGAGACACGGCCCAGACUCCUACGGGAGGCAGCAGUGGGGAAUUUUGCACAAUGGGGGAAACCCUGAUGCAGCGACGCCGCGUGAUUUAGAAGGCCUUCGGGUUGUAAAAAUCUUUUGUAUGGGAAGAAAAUGACAGUACCAUACGAAUAAGAACCGGCUAAUUACGUG